rnacentral:rRNA from 1 species
AUGGCUGUCGUCAGCUCGUGUCGUGAGAUGUUCGGUUAAGUCCGCUAACGAGCGCAACCCUCGCUGUGUGUUACAAGUGUCACACGGAACUGCCGGUCAUAAACCGGAGGAAGGUGGGGAUGACGUCAAGUCAGCAUGGCCUUUAUAUCCUGGGCUACACACACGCUACAAUGGGAAGGGACAAUAGGUUGCGAAGCCGCGAGGCGGAGCCAAUCCAGCAAAACUUCCCUCAGUUCAGAUUGCAGGCUGCAACUCGCCUGCAUGAAGUUGGAGUUGCUAGUAAACGCAGGUCAGCCAUACUGCGUUGAAUACGUUCCCGGGGCUU